AAAGAAUGGGUGACUGGCUUGUUGCUGGCCUUUCGGGGCAUGUGCACGCCUCGCUCAUUCCAACUCUAACACCUGUGAACUAGCUGUAGGUCGGUUUUGAAGUGAGCUCUAACGGGCGAGCUUUUGGGCCUUCCUAUGUCUUUAACAAACUCUUGUUGUAUCAGAAUGUAUUCGCGCUUUAUAAACGCAUCAAUAUAACUUUCAGCAACGGAUCUCUUGGCUCUCGCAUCGAUGAAGAACGCAGCGAAAUGCGAUAAGUAAUGUGAAUUGCAGAAUUCAGUGAAUCAUCGAAUCUUUGAACGCAUCUUGCGCCCUUUGGUAUUCCGAAGGGCAUGCCCGUUUGAGUGUCAUUGUAUUCUCAAAUCUCUUCAUUUUAUGAAGUCGAUUUGGAGUUGGGGGUCUUGCAGGUGAACUUGUUCGUCUGCUCUCCUUGAAUGCAUUAGCUGGAACCUUUUGCUAGACCGGCUUUGGUGUGAUAAUUAUCUGCGCCAUGGUCGUAAGGCGAAUUAUAAAGGAUCUGCUUACAAUCGUCCUUAUGGACAAUUUCUGACAUCUGACCUCAAAUCGGGUAGGACUACCCGCUGAACUUAAGCAUAUCAAUAAGCG
rnacentral:rRNA from 1 species